AUGACAUCGACCUGUUACUUAGGAGCAUCUCCACUCACGUCCCCAACACGGCCCAGGGCCCUUUUUUUGACGCCGGCGCCGAAAAAUCGGUCCAGUCACGCACCUAGGGUCUUACUUAUCACCGGUUCUCGCUCCUUUUCACCGUGCGCAUCGCCGACGACACUUGUUCUUCGGCACAAAUGGUUCAGAUGUUCGCCAUGUACCGUCAGGACAGCAGCACCGACCAAGAGUUCAAGUACCUCCAAGUGUUCUCCUGGAUCGAGAAGUGCGAGAAGAGGGCGGACGUCCGGCGCACCCUCGCCAAAGCCAAGGAGACGUACAAGCUGGACGCGCCGAUGCCGGGCGCGUCUGAUGGGCGCCCAGACGGCAACAAACGAGCCAAGACAGCGAAGGACGCCGCCCCGGCUAUCGCGCGGCUUCAAUCGUCCAUUGAGCAGUGCAUAG
rnacentral:rRNA from 1 species